rnacentral:misc_RNA from 1 species
UAUUAUUUAGAGUAUAGUGGCGUUAAAAAAAAAUUUCAUUACCAUUACGGUAGUUAAAAUGUUAAAAUUAUUUGGUAUGAAUUUGUUCUGGCAAAAAAUAUGAGCAUUGAAAAGCUUGGAGCUCAAUCAUCUGCUGCUGUUUCUUCAGUUAUUAUUCCAACUUUUUUAAAUUCAGAUUCAGAGAGUGAAAAUGAAUGUGGCGAUGUAUAUGAAGAGUUAGUGUUUCAUCCAGUUUUAAACAAAGACAUUAAAACACCAGAAGAAACUAAAGAAUAUAAUUUUAAUACAAAUAAGGAUAGUGGGAUACUUGUUGAUAGUUGUUAUAAAUUCAAUGAAGAGCCAGACUGGAAUAUACAAGAUGACUAUCAGAAAAGUCACUUUUUUUCAAAUAAUGGAAUAUUGAUCAAUGAUUGUUAUGAAUUUGAUGAAGAAAAUGAAGCUCUUUCCACUCAAACUUCAAAGAGUUUUGAUUCUUCUAUAUGUGGAGAUAUUUCUUCUAUAUAUGGUAACUUGAAUUUUAAAGACUGUUUGAAAAAUUCAGACAUUCCAACAGAAUCAGAGCUUGAUAAAAUAAUUGAACAACUUCCGAAUUCAUAUAAAAAGAAUGAAAGUUUAUUUGAUGAUUCUGAUAAUCUUUAUGAAUCUAACAGUAGUGCUUCAUCUCUUCUUGAAAAACUUGAAUCUACGAUGGUUCAGUUAAAAAAAGAAAACAACAACAAGUUAGAAUUCUUAGGCGCUGCAGAAAAUUUUUUUACGAUAGAAUCCGAUUUUUUACAGGCAAUUCCACAAGAAAAAAAAAUUAACCUGACUGUUAUGGCUCGCUAUGGAAACAAUUGUUCUACAAAUACUGAUGAUUUGGAUGACGAUGAAGAUAUUGAAAAAAUGCGCCAAGAACUAAAACAAAAAAGUCAAAGCAUCAUUAAUUUAGGAAAAAAACAUGAAUCUCAAAUACCUUGCAGUUACAUUGAAGAAUCACAACAUUUGAAAAUAGAAAGUGAAAGUGAAAUUGAUUUUAGGAAUCGCAUUAGAGUUUCUGAACGUGAAUUUAUGUUGGGUGAUGUUGCGCAUAGUUUAGUUGAAAAAAAACAAGAUGUUAAUAUGAUCAAUACUGUUGAUAGCAUGCUGGAUGAGGUGAACCGUAUUAUGUGUGGAUUCGAUGAUCAUGUUUUCUUGAAUAACCAUAGUACACCUCAUUGUGAUGAUAAGAAUAGUCAGUUUAAAAAUACUCAUAAAGAUAUAUCGUCCAAUGAGUAUAUUUGUGACAUUGUUUCUAAGAAAACAGCGGAUUCUAAUAAUGUCAAUGAAAAAAGUAAAAACAAUGUUGUUAACAAUAAUAAUAAUGAAUAUAAAUUUAGGCAACACAAAAUGUGUAGCCCUAUUAUAGAAAUAAAAGAUAACGAUGAAGAUGGAAAUCAAAAAGUUUCACAAUCUGUGCACCCUGUGUUUGACUCAUGUAGUUACAUAGACUAUGAUAUGAAGACAGAAGUUAUUGACUGGUGUAAUAUUUUAGAUAAAGAUAGUUUUAGUGAAAAAAAAAAUGCUAGUCCAUUAAAAAGUGUUUAUAAUGAAGUGUUUGACAGCUUGUUUACAAAAUCGUUUUUUUCAGCUGAAGGAUCAUUAAAAAAUCUAAAACAUGAAGAAAAUAAAAUAAUGACUAAACCGAAAACUUCCAUAUUAAGUAAAAAAAAUAAAGAUACUCAAGGAACGAAAGAUGAAGAAAGGGUAUUUAAAAGUGAUACAAAUGGUGUUAGAGAAAUUAAUGAUUAUGAAAAAUCUUGUUUAUGUACAGAUAAUAAUGUAUCCUUUGGCUCAUUAGCACAGAGCUUUGAAAAGCAGGGAACUGAAGUAAGUGCAGCAAAAGUAAUUGAGACUUUGAAUCAUCUAGAGGUUUCAAACCAUCUGGAGGCUUCAAACCAUCUAGAGAAACCAAAUUAUCCAGAGAAUUCAAACCAUCUGCAGACUUUAAAGAAUCAAAAGAAUUCAAACCAUCUAGAGAUUUCAAACAAUUCAAAUAUUUCAAAGCUAAAACAUUGUACUGCAAACACUAUUUCCAACAAUAUAGCUGGAAGCAAGUGUUUAGAUUCAAGCAAGAGUUUAAAUCCACCAAUAGGAACCAAUAACUCUGUUCAGCUAAACGAAAAUGAUAAUUCUAAUCUGCUGAUUAAAAACAAUAGUUUUCAUUUACCAAUGGAGACUAAUAAAAAAAAGAAGAAAAAGAAAAAAAAAAGUGUUUUGUCAACAAACGGUUUACAUACAAACCAGCACAUUCUUGAAGAAGUUUCAGAGCUCAGAAGUCUUCUGUAUGAUCAGAGUGUGUCGCUUCAAGAAGGUUAUCCAUUUAUUCCAAGUACAAAUAAACAGAUUUUAACUUUAAAAAUUAGCUUAGAUUCACCUGGUGUCAUAAAGAUGAAUUGCCCUGAUUCAGUUUCCCCUGUUAUUAAUUCAUUAGCAAGUGAUAUUUAUAUUGGAUUAGUCACUUUGUUUCUCCUUUUAUUACAAGGUAGUAAGUGGGAGAUUACUUCACAAUUAACAGAAAUACCGUUUGAUGUUGUAUCUUUGUUUCAAGUAAAUUUAGAUGGUGAGCUUAUGCUGGUGGUUGGUAUAACAGAAAAUCAAAAUACAAAACAAAAAUUAAAAAAAAACAAACAUGGAACUUUUUUUCAUGCAGCAACUCAUUUUUUGAAUGUAACAGACUUGGAACAAAUUUUAAAAAAGAUAUGGGACAAAAUAGAAAUUGAAAGGUUAAAGCCGUCUUUUAGUCAAACUGUUAUUUUUCAACAGUUAGAAUUGCAAAAAAAAGAAAAAUGUGAAAUUCCUGGCACUGGUAAGCUCUCCUCUUUUAUUAGUAUUAGUCCAGAUACAAACAUUUUAAAUCGGAUUUUAGCCAUGAAGUCAUCAUUGUCUAUACACACUCCUGAUGAUUCUCCAAGUUUCUCUUUUUUUCAAUAUGAUUCGCAAAUUCCAGAGCAAGAGUUAACAUGCUUAACAAUUCAAAACAUUUUAUCUAUGUCUCCUAAACAUAUAUCUGCUUUUUUGAAGACAUUGCGGGAUAACUCGGUUGAGAUAAUUGGUUUAAGAACAGGAUUCAUAAUAAAUGAUAUGAAAUCGCAUCUCAUGCUUUCAAUUUGUAUAAAUGAAGUCAGUUCAACUACAUUGCAAAAGGGACGAAUGAUUUUAGCUAAUUGUGAAGAACUUAAAAAAAUUAAUUUCAAUUUUCACGCAGAUCAUUUCCUGUUUAAUAAUAAUGAAGACCCUAUAAUUAAUUUUCCUGUUGGCAGUAAGAUGGCUUUUCAACUGGUUGUUCAAUGGUUUGGACCACAUUAUAAAGAUCAUGAUGAAGCUUUUAUAGCCAUUAAUGAAUAUAAAAUGGUUUCUUCUCAAAUUAAAGAUAAAAAAUGGAGUUUAGAAACAUCAAGUCUUUCUCUUUUAGCAACCUGCUUUAGUUUUUCUUGUUUGCUUGUUUCGUCUAGUGUUCCCACUUCAUUUUUAGCAUUUAUUAUUAGUUUCUCUGAGAGGAGGGGACUGCAACUUAAAUCAAUGUGUAAACUUUGUAUUUCACUAAAAGAGCAGCAUGCAUGGAAAAUAAUUCCUGAUCUAAACAACAAAACUUACUCAAGCGUUAAUGAGAAGCAUACUUUAUUAGUUUUUUAUGGAAGGAGCUGCUCAUACCGUUUACUUGGAAUUGUUAAGAAGUUAUGCAAUAUAUUAAUGAAACCCACAACCGGAGAUAGUCUGCAACUGCUGUGCACUGACAAGUUUUUUAAAUAUAAUGAAUUACGUAAAAGAUGCGAAUCUUAUUUACUUUCCCAUUCAACUAAUGAUAUGAUUGUGCCUUUAUAUUUUAAUGAACAUACCGAUGCUUUAUUGAAAACAUCAGAACUGCUACCUAAUCCAUCUUCACUUGUUGACUUUGGAGAUAUUUUGUUCAAAGCUAGGUUGAAUCUAUAUACUCCAGAAGUCAGUCUAAUUGCUUUAUUAGUUUACGGUACAAGCCUUGUUAGACAAAUGUCUGUUUUUUUCAGAAUUGUUUUCGGAGAUUUAUUUUUUGAUUGCAUAAACGCAUGGCGCCAAGCUUCUCAAUGUUCCUCAAUGAAAGUUUUAUAUGCUCCUACUUUAGAAUGGCUUGGACUAAAAUAUAUUUCCAAACUUUCAGCAAUCCAAGUCAAUGACUUUAUCAUUUACGAACCAUUUAGCACUAAAUGGAAAACAGAAACAACAAAAAUGAUAGGAAAAGAAGCUAAUCUUGUGAUAUUUAGAGCUGUUGACAAGCGUGAAGUUACGCGGUUAAUGGCAAAACUAGAAGAUUUUAUGAUUGAAUUAAAGUCAGAUAAAAACCAUUCUGAUAUUAUUCUACAUUCUGAUGCAGAAUAUGUGACUCAAAUAAUGUAUAAAUAUUUUAAUGACCAUGAAAUUUAUGGUGAUAGUUUAGCCAACCAAUCGUAUAAUUAUUAUAUACCAAAAGAUGAGAAUUUAUUUAGUUUGUCAAAAAUGUUUAAUCCUAACGCUGAAUAUAGUUUUGUUUCUUUAGAGUAUGUUUCUAAACUAGAAUUUAACAAAUUGUAUGAUUUUCUACCUAAUUGUGACAAAGUAUAUAAAGUAGAGUUUAAUAAAGCUCCCUUACUUGUCCAAUUAGUUUUACAAAAUGAACAAUCCUAUGUUGGUUUUUCUGUGUUGUAUAAUACUGAACAUAUUUUAGCCAUCUCUAAAUCCCUUACAAGAAUUGUGAAUAUGGGUUUUCAAAUAUGCGCAUUAAAAUUUCCUGUGUUUGAUCACGGAGAUUUCUGGAUGCGUUUAGUUUUUAAGCGAUCUAAUGCUAUUUUUUUAUUAAGCAAACUUUUACUUGAACUAAGGAGUUCGUACCAAAGCUUGGUGUGGAGUGUUACAGAAACUGAAGAGGAUUUGAUAUGUUUUAUUGAAAAUAACUUUAAGCAGAAUUUGAACUCUGGAGGGAUUUUUUAUUCCAACUAUUUUUCUUAUGUCCAUAAAUUGCAUUUUGAGGGAGAAACUAUCUUUUAUGGCCGACAAUCUCGGGAAAUAGACUGGGAUCCUGAAUGCUCAAAGACUAACAAUGAAUUUUUCAUGAAAUGUGAGCCGGCAUACACCCAGUCAUUUUUAUCUUUACCUUCAACAAAAACAGAUCAAUUUACAGUGAUCAUACUUACUAGACCUAUUAUGUCAGGUAUUUUUUGUGGAAAAAGGUAUCCAUCAAAAAGCGUAUUUCCUGAACUAUGGCAUUUGUUAGAGUCACUUUCUUACCGAGCAGUAGCAAUGAGAAUGACAAGUCUUAGUGAUGAAUUUGCAAAUAUGAUCGUUGAAAGUUUUGGAUUAGAUAAUAAAAAGGCAAAAUUAAUGAAAUCUUUUUUAAUGGAUAAACAACACCCUAUUUUGGCUGUUGUAAUGGUUGGGUCUUGUAUUUUAUCAAAUUUCUUCAUAACAUUACAAAGAUCAAAGAUCGAAGUACCUGAUAAACUUAAACAAACAUAUAUAGCUCUGUUGCCUCUUUUUUGUUAAAAUCAUGGAAUCAUCUGUGGUAAAUAGAUGAGAUUGGGGAAGAGAUAUUGCAUGGGAUGAGAGAAAUCUUGAUGAUGAAGCUAUUCAAUGUUUAAAAGAUUUUUCUUUGAUUUCACAAUCAACUUUGCAG